UUGGCGGUUUUGCCCUCGGUUGAAAUUUUUUUGCAGCUCUGCCACUGCCCACUGACCUGGAUAUAUCGCUCUUCCCGUUGUUUUCAUUUUUCUCCUGUAGUCAUCAUUUUCAGUUAUCAAGAAUGAGAGAGAGAGAGAGGGACAUCGGAGGCAAAUCCGUAAAACAUAGAGUCGUCGCCCAGUGAAGCCAAUUGAAUCCGAUAAUUUUAAGCUUGGGUCAUUCUGUCAUCUAAUUCUCAGACUAUCAACUCAGCCACGAUCGUGAGAUAAAGAGAUUGGGUUUUUCCCGUGGUUCUGGAAAAGAAAGGACAAGAGGAGAAAUUUAAUCCCAAGGUACUGGUGGUAUAAACAUUCACAAUCAGGAAGAAUUUCCAGGUGGUACAAUGACAAUCAUCUUAAAUGUUUCUGCAAAUUUAACUCUCGAUUUCUCAAACUUCUUUGUAUUGUUUUUGAGCUAGAAUCAAAGGAAAGUGCAAUAAUGAGCUAGGGGAAUCCCGACAGGAAAGAAACAACCAUCCUAUACAACAUGAAUUUCAGUCAUGAACAAACUGAUUGUUGAAAAGUGAUUAUGUCUUAGCACUGUAUUAGAUUCUCCCAUAAUUCCUGAGGUUUACCACAAUCAACAGUCAAAUUUUAGUACAUGGUUUCUUUUUAGUUUUGUAUUUUCAUUUUUUGUGUUAUUACCUAAUUAUGCAAUGUUUGUUUUCCAUUCAGGUCAAGCUGAAGAGAUAUUUGGAAAGGAGGGAAGCUGAAGGAGGGACUUGAUCUACUUCAUCUUUUGUUGUAAAACAGACUUAAAUCUUUUGCUAAUAUAAUGAUCAUGUCAUAUAGUUUUUAUGCUAUUAAAUUUAGCCCUUAAAUAACGUUG